AGCUUUGCGCAGUGGCAGUAUCGUAGCCAAUGAGGUUUAUCCGAGGCGCGAUUAUUGCUAAUUGAAAGAAUGGGAGACAGUGUACAAUGGACUCGGAAAACUCACUGUUGUUUCGGGGCCACACCUGCAGCUG
rnacentral:sRNA from 1 species